AGAGUUUGAUCAUGGCUCAGAUUGAACGCUGGCGGAAUGCUUUACACAUGCAAGUCGAACGAUGAACCUUAGCUUGCUAAGGGGAUUAGUGGCGAACGGGUGAGUAAUAUAUCGGAACGUGCCUUGUAAUGGGGGAUAACUAGUCGAAAGAUUAGCUAAUACCGCAUACGCCCUGAGGGGGAAAGUAGGGGAUCUUCGGACCUUACGUUAUAAGAGCGGCCGAUAUCUGAUUAGCUAGUUGGUGGGGUAAUGGCCUACCAAGGCUUCGAUCAGUAGCUGGUCUGAGAGGACGACCAGCCACACUGGAACUGAGACACGGUCCAGACUCCUACGGGAGGCAGCAGUGGGGAAUUUUGGACAAUGGGCGCAAGCCUGAUCCAGCCAUUCCGCGUGAGUGAAGAAGGCCUUCGGGUUGUAAAGCUCUUUCGCAAGGGAAGAAAACUUACACAAUAACACUGUGUGAGGCUGACGGUACCUUGAUAAGAAGCACCGGCUAACUACGUGCCAGCAGCCGCGGUAAUACGUAGGGUGCGAGCGUUAAUCGGAAUUACUGGGCGUAAAGCGUGCGCAGGCGGUUUGGCAAGUCAGAUGUGAAAUCCCCGAGCUCAACUUGGGAACUGCGUUUGAAACUGCCAGACUAGAAUAUGUCAGAGGGGGGUAGAAUUCCACGUGUAGCAGUGAAAUGCGUAGAGAUGUGGAGGAAUACCAAUGGCGAAGGCAGCCCCCUGGGAUAAUAUUGACGCUCAUGCACGAAAGCGUGGGGAGCAAACAGGAUUAGAUACCCUGGUAGUCCACGCCCU
rnacentral:rRNA from 1 species